UCUAAACUACACCACUAAACAAGUUUUCAACUACAAUUCCAACAACAAAUGCUAACAUAACACAUCCAACACUAGUGCAUCUAAUUUGACUAAAAUUCAAUCUAAUUUUCUUCAAAUGAAUUUUUAAGCCAACUAAUCUUUCCUCUAACUUCCUAACUUUGUUAUCAUCUGCAAAAGAAUGACCUUCUUUAUGAUUCUGAUUCAGCUUCAAACCUCCGAAUAAAAGAGUCUUCAUUUGCAACAUCCUCAUUGAAUGAUGCAACAUAAUCAUCAAGCCAACAAAAGUAUUUGCAAUGAAGUGUUGGAGUCUAUAAAAUAAUAUUUUUUAUUAUAAAUCUAAUAGAAAAUAAAGUGAACAUAAUUUUAAUUCUUGAUAAACCUACCUUGAAAUAUGAGCAUCAAUGAAAAACAAAGUGAACAAAAUUUUAAUUGUUAAUAAACCUACCUUAAAGUAUGAGCAUCGAAAGAAUAGUCUAUUUGGGUUUAUAUCGGUUUCGAACAUGAACAAAAUUGCAUAAAUUUUACAAUUACAUUCUGGGACAACCCUCUUUUUCUUCCACCUUGAUUCCACACUCCCAGUAACUUUCAAACUCCAACCUGAUUCGUUUUCAACUCUCCCACUUCACCGAUUUGAUGUCGACCCACGUUCUUUACUAUCAACCAUGCCGUCCUAGGGUUUAUAGUCGAACACAUUGAUGCAUUUUCAAAGUAUAUAGUGAAGGAGCGCAGCAUUUGAACCUCUCAUCCCACUUAAAAUAAUAGCG
rnacentral:lncRNA from 1 species